UAACACGUGGGUAACCUGCCCUGAUGAUCGGGACAACCCGAGGAAACUCGGGCUAAUACCGAAUGUGCCCUCCGGCCAUAAGGCCACUGGGGAAAGGAAGCUUCGGCCUCCGCAUUGGGAUGGGCCCGCGGCCCAUUAGCUUGUUGGUGAGGUAACGGCUCACCAAGGCGAUGGUGGGUAGCUGGUCUGAGAGGACGAUCAGCCACACUGGGACUGAGACACGGCCCAG
rnacentral:rRNA from 1 species